rnacentral:rRNA from 1 species
GACGAAGGAUGCAAGCGUUAUCCGGAUUCAUUGGGUUUAAAGGGAGCGUAGGUGGCCUUAUAAGUCAGUGGUGAAAUCUCUCAGCUUAACUGAGAAAUUGCCAUUGAUACUGUAGGGCUUGAGUACAGAUGCCGUUGGCGGAAUAUGACAUGUAGUGGUGAAAUACAUAGAGAUGUCAUAGAACACCGAUUGCGAAGGCAGCUGACGAAACUGUAACUGACACUGAGGCUCGAAAGUGCGGGGAUCAAACAGG